CGGCCCAGACUCCUACGGGAGGCAGCAGUGGGGAAUAUUGCACAAUGGGCGCAAGCCUGAUGCAGCGACGCCGCGUGCGGGAUGACGGCCUUCGGGUUGUAAACCGCUUUUGACUGGGAGCAAGCCCUUCGGGGUGAGUGUACCUUUCGAAUAAGCACCGGCUAACUACGUGCCAGCAGCCGCGGUAAUACGUAGGGUGCAAGCGUUAUCCGGAAUUAUUGGGCGUAAAGGGCUCGUAGGCGGUUCGUCGCGUCCGGUGUGAAAGUCCAUCGCUUAACGGUGGAUCCGCGCCGGGUACGGGCGGGCUUGAGUGCGGUAGGGGAGACUGGAAUUCCCGGUGUAACGGUGGAAUGUGUAGAUAUCGGGAAGAACACCAAUGGCGAAGGCAGGUCUCUGGGCCGUCACUGACGCUGAGGAGCGAAAGCGUGGGGAGCGAACAGGAUUAGAUACCCUGGUAGUCCACGCCGUAAACGGUGGAUGCUGGAUGUGGGGACCAUUCCACGGUCUCCGUGUCGGAGCCAACGCGUUAAGCAUCCCGCCUGGGGAGUACGGCCGCAAGGCUAAAACUCAAAGAAAUUGACGGGGGCCCGCACAAGCGGCGGAGCAUGCGGAUUAAUUCGAUGCAACGCGAAGAACCUUACCUGGGCUUGACAUGUUCCCGACAGCCCCAGAGAUGGGGCCUCCCUUCGGGGCGGGUUCACAGGUGGUGCAUGGUCGUCGUCAGCUCGUGUCGUGAGAUGUUGGGUUAAGUCCCGCAACGAGCGCAACCCU
rnacentral:rRNA from 1 species